AACGAACGCUGGCGGCGUGCUUAAUACAUGCAAGUCGCACGAGAAAGUCCUUCGGGAUGAGUAGAGUGGCGCACGGGUGAGUAAUGCAUAGGAACGUACCUACGGGUGGGGAAUAACCACGGGAAACUGUGGCUAAUACCGCAUAACGACGAGAGUCCAAAGCAGGCCUCUAUUUAUAAGCUUGCACCGGUAGAGCGGCCUAUGUCCCAUUAGCUAGUUGGUAGGGUAAUGGCCUACCAAGGCGACGAUGGGUAGCUGGUCUUAGAGGAUGAUCAGCCACACUGGGACUGAGACACGGCCCAGACUCCUACGGGUGGCAG
rnacentral:rRNA from 1 species